rnacentral:lncRNA from 1 species
ACAUCGCAUUUUUCAUUACAUUGAUUCUCAACUUCCAAAUAUACAAUCGAUUUCUAAACAUAACAUUACAACAUCGAUUCUUUUCUUUUCUUUUCUUAUACCCCUAAGAAGCCGACUCAGGGUGCUGCUAUCUGGUCUCUGUGGUAGGGCGCUAACUACGGAGCUACGCCCUUUCCUCGCGCCGCCGCGCCGCUCGCGUGUGAACCUGUACCCCCAAAAACAACAACACGGGGGUGAGACUAUUGUCCAUAGUCGUCAGUGGGUACAGCCACCCAAGGGAAAAGCUCAACCCACCAGGUCCAAAGGAGGCACUGCAACAUGUUAGUCCAACAGAUAUAUACAUAUAACAUCAUGCAAUACAUGUUCAUGCCUCACAAAUAUGCAAAUUAUGCAACUCUUAGUCAUUCUUUACCAUUAGCCUUUCUUGAGAAUAUGCAAUUCUUUAUCAUUAGCCAUUCUUUAUUCUUUAAUCUUUAUUCUUUAUUCUUUAUGCUUUAUUCUUUUUGCUUUAUUCUUUAUGCUUUAUUCUUUGUUCUUUAUCCUUUACUAAGGGCACUCGCGCCUUAGGCUCAUCAUACACAUUUGCCAUUCUUUAUAACAUUAACAAACGUUUCUCAAUUGUCAUUCUUUCUCAAUUGCUAUUCUUUCUCAAUUGUUAUUCUUUCACAGGGUUACCUUUACCCUAGCCAACUAUGCCACUCGACUCGGUUUUGAGUCAAUUCAUAAUGAAUACAAGAUCCACUUUCCAAAACAUGAUUCCUUUUUGUUCUUUGUUCUUUAAUCUCACGGCUAACCCGGGGGUUUCGCCACAUUAACUUGCUUCACAUUAAGUCCAUCAUCGCAGGAACUCACCAGCUAGGACCGUCAUUACGGGUCUACUCCAACCCGGAUGCCAAACUCCGGAGAGCAUCGCCCGAGGGGGAGCGACCGCCCUCGAGCACGGAACUCAUAGCAAGUAUGAUCAAUCCUUAACUCUAAGGAUAUGUAGUUGGAUCAUGGUUUUACACUAACUCUAGUGUUCUUCACAUCACAUUAGUUGCUAACUCUAGCAAUCAUUAUUCUUUAUACCACAAUUAUCAAUUACUUUAGUAAUUGUCAUUCUUGAUAUCACACUUGUUCUUUUAUUGCCACACACUAACUCUAGUGUUCUUUAUGUCACAUUGGUUGCUAACUCUAGCCAUUAUCAUUGUUCUUUACACUUUGCUUGUUCUUUAUGCCACAUUACUUUACAUCACCUCUAGCCAUUAUCAUUAUUCUUUACAUCACAUUGCUUUGCCUUGUCUCAAGCCAUUAUCAUUAGGUUCUCACAUUACAUCUCAUGCAUACACAUAGAUUAUUUAGAUUCUUAAUCAUUCUAAUAAGCACGUGUACUCACAUCAUGCAACAUUACAUUAUUAUCAUCACAUUGUUUUACAUUAUCUUUAGCCAUUAUCAUUGUUCUUUACAUCACAUUUAUUCUUUGAUGUCCCACACUAACUCUAGUGUCCACUUUACCAUUUCGAAUGCCACUCGAUCUAUGUUCAACGUGCAUAUAUUUUGUCAUCCAUUGGUAGUCAUCACUCAGCAUUUUAUGCAUUCGUUAACGUUUACUACAUGCAUUCUCGGUUAGUACAAUCUCAUACUUUCAUUUGACAUCUAUUUAGCAUUUCUAUAAUAUGCACAUAUAAAUUAACAUCAACUCAUGCAUUCAUUUGGCAUCUAUCUUUAUCAUGCAUUCUUAAUUAGCAUACUUUAUCACGCAUUCUCAAAUAGCAUACUUUAAUCUUUAUCAUGCAUUCUUAAAUAGCAUACUUUAUCAUGCGUCAAUAGUAAACAUACUACACUUUAGCAUGGAAAGCGACCUUGUCGCUUCGGUGAGCACAACCCACCUCAUUUCGCAUUCCGAUUGCUUGUCGACACUUGCAAUCGGCCUCCCGCGGCACCCGUAACCCGGUUUGGCCCGAUCUCUCACGCGACCACCCGAACGGCCUCCAAUUC